rnacentral:rRNA from 1 species
GACGAACGUUGGCGGCGUGCUUAAUACAUGCAAGUCAACCGAAGCAGUGGCAGCAAUAUCGCUGUGGAGGUGGCGCACGGGUGAGUAACACGUAGGUAAUCUGCCUUCAGGUCUGGCAUAACUCCGGGAAACCGGGGCUAAUAGCAGAUGAUGCAGCGGCUCGACAUCGAGACAGUUGUUAAAGCUAUGGCGCCUGAAGAUGAGCCUGCGUCUGAUUAGCUAGUUGGCGGGGUAACGGCCCACCAAGGCAACGAUCAGUAGCUGGUCUGAGAGGAUGAUCAGCCACACUGGAACUGAGACACGGUCCAGACUCCUACGGGAGGCAGCAGUAAGGAAUAUUGCUCAAUGGGAGAAAUCCUGAAGCAGCAACGCCGCGUGAGGGACGAAGGGCUUUUGCUUGUAAACCUCUGUAGUGAGAGAAAAAAAUCCCAAUCUUUGGGACAUGAUGGUAUCUCAAAAGUAAGCCCCGGCUAACUACGUG